UACGUAGGUGUCAAGCGUUGUCCGGAUUUACUGGGCGUACAGAGCGCGCAGGCGGCUGGUCAAGUCCGAUGUGAAAUCUCCCGGCUUAACUGGGAAACUGCAUCGGAAACUGAUCGGCUUGAAGGUGGGAGAGGGUAGUGGAAUUCCCGGUGUAGUGGUGAAAUGCGUAGAUAUCGGGAGGAACACCAGUGGCGAAGGCGACUACCUGGCCCAUUCUUGACGCUGAGGCGCGAAAGCUAGGGGAGCGAACGGG
rnacentral:rRNA from 1 species